UAGGCCUCUUGCAGCAGCGUACAGAGAGAACACGAUCUGAUUGUCUGGGUUUCAAUUUUGACUGGAGUUUUCCUGUCAGCACACAUUGUGGACACAGAAACAGUCAAACAACAACGUUAAAGUCACAGAAAGCAAUAUCUCACUGACAGAUAUCC